CUCCUACUCUAUCUACAUGGGCACCGUCGAUCCAACCCCUUACUUCUCCCAGCUUCAGUCUCUCCCCCGCGGCAUCUCCUCCUCCUCCUCCUCCUCUCCCUGUAACUCCACCGCCGCACAACCUCUCCGCGUAUUCAUGUACGACCUCCCUCGAAAAUUCAACAUCGCGAUGAUGGAUCCUCACAGCUCAGACGUCGAGCCAAUCACCGCCAAGAACCUCCCUCCCUGGCCCCAGACCUCCGGGAUCAAGCGCCAGCACAGCGUCGAGUACUGGCUCAUGGCCUCGCUUCUCCACAACGGAGGAGAGAAAAAAAUUUAAAAGCAAAUUUAAUAUUAAGAAAACAGAUAACUUUAAUAAUGGUAAAAUAUAAUAUAUCUACCUUAUUAAACUAUUUGUAACUAUUUGAUCAAACGAUGUUUAUGUUUAAACUUUAUUUAUAAUUUAUCGACAUUUUUGUAAUUGAAAGAUAUUAUAGUGAACUAAAUUUAUGAAAAAUAAAUAAAAUAUUUCAAUAAUACUAAUUAUAAACUAUUUUAAAUCAAUUAAACAUAUAUCAUUGUAUGUUACUUAAUUAUUUUAUGUAAUCAUCUAAGAAAAUAUAUAGAUAUAUAAAAAUAUUUCUAUUACUUUGAAUUUUUUUGUAUUGUUUAAAAUUAUGUUUUAAAAGAAAUAAUAUUAGGCAAUUGGUCAUACUCAGAAAAAUCUCUCUUUGAUUAUUCUCUGGAUUCUAUGGUAAAGUGUUGGUUUGAGGACAUGAGGAGGAAUCUCACUAUUGCUGAGUGGAAUGGAUUUUUCAAUAUGUUUAAUCCGGAGUUUAUUAAAAAUUAUUCCUCUAUGAUAAUGGAUUAUGAUUGGUAUUGUAUUAUUUCAUUGUUAACACAGGUUCCCUUCCGGCACUUUGGGAAGCCUUGGAGCUUUUUGAUAAUAGAAUAUAAUUUAAAAUUGGUUUGGAUUCGUGACUGCCAACUAUUUUGGAAAAAAUGGUACAAUGGUUUACAUCAGAUUGUUGAACUAGGAUGGUGUGGUUUUGUUUUACAUGGGUUUGGCGAAUACUUGGAUGCAGUUCUGAUAUGGUGGCUGUGGGGUUUUGAUGUUAAAACAUUUUCGGGUAUCAUUAAACCUGUAUGUUAUGGCUCGAUGGAGCAAUACAAAUAUUUUUAUAUAUGAAAAUAUUAAGUUGGAAUGUUAGAGGAUUCGGAAGUCAUUGUACCAUAAGUUAUCUCCGGGAGAUAUGACACAAACAUAAACCAGAUUUUUUAUUUUUAUCUGAAACGAAACAAGAUUUCGAAUUCGUACAAGGGUUUCAAUCACACUAUGGAUAUGAUAGGUUGGUUACUGUGGAUCCAAAUGGGCGGAGCGGCGGUUUGGCUCUUUUUUAUAACAACGAAUAUCAAGUAAAAAUCUUAUAUUCUAGCAACAGAAUGAUAGAUAUAGAGGCGGUGGUCAAAGGAAAGCAAUUUUUCCUUACCUUUGUCUAUGGGGAUCUGGUACAAGAGUUAAGAGAACAGGUAUGGGAGAGACUAACUCGGUUUAGAUUAUCACGAUCUGAACCAUGGUUUAUUAUUGGCGAUCUAAAUAAGAUUACGGGGAAUCAUGAAAAGGAUGGGGGAGCACUAAGAUGUACAACUUCUUUCAUUCCUUUUAACAACAUGAUAAAAAAUAGUGGAUUACUAGAAUUUCCUGCUCGAGGUAAUAAAUUUUCUUGGCAAGGAAGGAGGGGCAAAGGAAAAGGAGCAGUGAUGGUUAGAUUUCGAUUGGAUCGGGCCUUGGCAAAUGAGGAAUGGCAUACGCUUUUGCCACGCUCUUACACAGAAUAUCUGAAGAUGGUGGGUUCUGAUCACCGUCUUGUGGUUGCUUUUCUGGAGGAUAAUUUAUCACGAAAGAGAAAGAGACAGUUCAGGUUUGUUAAGAGAUGGGUUGGACAGGAGGGUCUCAUGGAAUCGAUAGUAGCAGGCUGGACAGAAAAUCAGGGAGGACAGAUUGCAGUUGUUGUUACAAAAAUUAAUAAUUGCCGCCAUGAAAUAUCGUCAUGGCGAAAAGAUAACCAACCAUAUGGGAAGGACAAAAUUAAAGAUCUUCAACAGGCAUUGGAAGAAGUUCAAAUGGAUAAUAAUAGAACACAAGAGGAGAUUCUUGAGGUAUCCAAGAAGUUACAAGAGGCUUAUAAGGAUGAGGAGGAAUAUUGGUACCAGAAAAGCCGAAAUAUGUGGUAUUCAUUUGGGGAUCUUAAUACUAAAUUUUAUCAUGUCUUAACAAAGCAGUGUAGGGUUAGCAACAAAGUAGUGGGACUCCAUGAUGAUAUGGGUAAUUGGAUAACAGAGGAGAACAGAGUUGAGAAGGUGUCGGUUGACGGUUGACUAUUUUGAUGAUUUGUUUAGCACCACUGGUCCAACGGAAUUUGAUAGCUUUUUGGAAGAGAUAGUUCUGUCUAUCUCCCCUCAAAUGAAUCAAAUUUUAUUAAGACUAGCAACGGAGGAAGAAGUUCAAUAAGCUUUAUUCAUGAUGCACCCGGAGAAAGCGCCAGGUCCGGAUGGAAUGACAGUUCUCUUUUUUCAACAUUCCUGGCAUGUUAUUAAGAAGGAUGUGGUUGAGAUGGUGAAUAAUUUUCUGGCUACAGGAAAUAUAGAUCCACGUUUAAAUAUUACUAAUAUUUGUAUGAUUCCGAAAAUAGAGAGACCUACAAGGAUGACGGAACUAAUGCCGAUAAGUCUAUGUAAUGUUGGUUAUAAGAUCAUCUCGAAAGUCUUGUGUCAAAGAUUGAAAAUUUGCCUACCACAACUAAUCUCGGAGACACAAUCGGCUUUUGUGGCGGGCAGGUUAAUAUCAGAUAAUAUUCUUAUAGCGUAGGAAAUGUUUCAUGGAUUGAGAACCAAUAAGUCUUGCCGAAACAAGUUUAUGGCGAUCAAAACGGAUAUGAGCAAGUCGUAUGAUAGGAUAGAGUGGAGUUUUAUUGAGGCUCUUCUUCACAAAAUGGGAUUUGAUCCUCGAUGGAUCAAUAUAAUGUUGGAAUGUAUAUCGUCGGUUCAAUAUAGAGUACUCCUCAAUGGUCAGCCACGAGGUCUCAUAACCCCCCAGCGGGGCUUACGUCAAGGGGAUCCUUUGUCUCCUUAUUUAUUCAUCAUGUGCACUGAGGCAUUAAUUGUGAAUAUUAAGAAGGCGGAGAGAGCAAAACAAUUAACUGGUCUGAAGGUAGCAAGGGCUUGUCCAGCAAUUUCUCAUUUGCUAUUUACAGAUGACAGUUUUUUGUUUUGCAAGACAAAUAAAGAGGAAUGUCAAACCAUUCUCAGGAUUCUAAAGGAAUAUGAGACGGACUCAGGGCAACAAAAUAAUUUCCAUAAAUCUUCAAUUCAAUUUGGACAUAAAAUUGAAGAAUCCAGCCGUCAAGAAUUGAGAGAUAUUUUAGGAAUCCAGAAUAUAGGAGGAAUGUGAUCUUAUUAAGAUUUACCAGAAAGCCUUGGAGGAUCAAAGGUACAAGUGUUUGGCUUUGUACAAGAGCGCUUGAAUAAUAUGGUUAAUGGAUGGACUUUUCGAUUCUUGACUAAAGGAGGAAAAGAUGUGAUUAUAAAAUCGGUGGUUACGGCAUUGCCAAAUCAUGUGAUGUCUGUUUAUCGGUUACCGAAGGCUACAGUUAAAAAGCUAACAAGUGCAGUAGCUCAGUUUUGGUGGAGUCUAGGAGGAAGCACAAAAGGUAUGCAUUGGAAAUCAUGAGAUAAAUUAUGUGCUCCUAAAGAUAAUGGUGGACUAGGCUUUAAGGAUCUUAUUGAUUUUAACACGGCGAUGCUUGGAAAGCAAUUGUGGAGGCUGAUUGAGAAGCCAAAUACUCUUUUUCAAGAGUCUUCAAAGGACGGUAUUAUAGGAAUGCUUCACCCUUGGAACCGAUCCGUUCAUACUCCCCGUCAUAUGGCUGGAGGAGUAUUACUUCUGCUAGAUCUUUGGUUUGUAAAGGACUAAUUAAAAGGGUGGGAACAUGUUCAUCUAUCUCAGUAUGGAAUGAUCCUUGGAUCUCAGCCACUCGCCCGAGACCAGCAAACAAAAACCUUCAAAACAGUUACCCGGACCUUACAGUGGAUUCUCUCAUUAACUCGGAAUCCCGAACAUAGAAUUUACAGGCAAUCAGGGCUUUGGUGGAUCCUCAUGAUGCACAAAUUAUAGAAAGUAUACCUUUGAGUAGAAAUCCAAUGGAAGAUAGGAAUGGAUGGCAUUUCACUAACAAUGGGAAAUACUCUGUUCAAUCAGGUUAUCAAGUGGAGCGGGUCUAUCCUGAUAGGGAAAAACCACCAGAAUUUAUUGGUCCCACAGUGGAUAUACUAAAAGCUUUCUGCUGGAAAGUGCGGUGUCCCCCAAAGAUACAACAUUUCUUAUGGCAAAUCCUUUCAGGAUGUAUAGCGGUAAUAAAAAAUCUACAAACAAGGGGAAUACAAGGAGAUAUACGUUGUGCUCGAUGUGGAGAUCCGAAGGAAUCAAUAAACCAUGUGUUUUUUGAAUGUCCUCCAGCACGUCAAGUAUGGGCUUUAUCUAAGAUACCAUCGAACCCCAAUAUUUUUCCUUUUAGUUCUUUCUUCGCCAACAUGGAUCACCUAUUUUGGAGAGUCAAUCCAAGGCUAGAUGACCACCAAUUUGGAUGGAUAUUGUGGUAUAUAUAGAAAGCUCGAAAUAACAAAGUGUUUAGUAAUCUGGAUAUUGAUCCAAGGGACACACUGAAAAUAGUGGAAUUGGAAUCAACGCUUUGGGCUGAGGCACAGGUAGUACAGGUUCAAACGAGGGAGCAUGAGGCACAGAACAGACCCACAGUACCAACUUCAGGACGAUGGUGCUUCAUAGAUGGUUCAUGGAAAGACAAGGAUUUAUUUUCAGGGCAAGGCUGGUAUAACACUUUACCGGGUUUUGAUGGUUUACUAGAGGCAAAGAAUGUAAGGGCAUGUCUUUCACCUCUACACUCGGAGGUGGAGGCAUUAAUUUGGGCAGUCGAAAAUAUGAAGAAUUUAAGAGAGUUUCAGGUUACGUUUGCAACAGAUUGUUCUCAAUCGGUGAAGAUGGUUUUGGAACCAGAAGAAUGACCAGCAUUUGGAAGUUACCUGGAAGACAUAAAGCUUUUAAAAAGAAGUUUCCUCAACUCAGACAUCGUUCAUGUACCCCGGACGGAGAACCUACGAGCGGAUAGCUUAGCACGCAGUGCUAGGAAACAACCAUCUUUCGUCGUUCACAUGGAUGCGGAGUUACCAAUCUGGUUUACAGAGUCAACAUGAGUCUGUAAAUGUUUGUUGUAAAAAUAAAAUAAAAUAAAAUAAAGAUAACAUAUAUUCAUAUUCAUAUUAAUAUAUUCUUUAUCCGACGUACUUCAAAAAUACCAAUUUUAUUUGGAAGUACCCAAUAUUUCAAAUCUCGGCUAACAAAAUGAUCUUUCAGGCAUUUACAAGUUGUAUAGAAAUUAAUUUUGUAUUAUCCGGAUCAUGAUCAAUCAGCUGGAUAUUACACAUCGUAUGCAACUAAUUGUAUUAAAUUUAUUAUCAUAUCCGGAUAUUAUACUUUUCAUCUAUAUAAUAGAUGAUGGAUUCAUUUUAUUAGGUGCAUGUGACAUGUAUUAUCGUUGUUGAAUCGAUUCACCAAAUAAGAUGAGUCUACAUUUAGCUGAUCUGACAAAAUGAUAUAUAUGUAAGUGUUAUCAGGUAGAUUUAAAUGACAACUGUAAUCUUCUAAAAUGAUCUAAAUGUAAGAACAUGAAAUUGGUAUAUAUUUCUUAGAAACCUGCGGAUAUGAUAGACUUGAAUUAUGAGAUGAUCAAUAUGAUGAUGAUUUCUUACAAAAGAUUACCACAAAAUAAACUCUCAACCCGUCUCAUGAUCAAAAUAUCGAAAAAAAUCUCAUGUAUCUUGUUAAUUAUUAAUACAACCAUAUAGUUAUACCAAAUAUUAAAUCCUAAUCAAUUAUCCAAAUAUUACACAUAUUAUCCACUUAAUAGUAUUGAAUCUUAGUAUGAUCUCUGGAUAGUUGACCAAUCCAUUUUAGUAGGUGCAUGCAACAUGUAUUAUCGUUGUUGAUCCGGUUCACCCAAAAUAUCCCGACAACAACUACUUUGAACAUUGUCUCUCCUUCUGAAAAGCAUCAUGCCACACCCAAGAAUCUAGUCAUAGAAACCAAAAAAUUGUUAUGUAAACUUAAUGUUUAUAUGAUUAGCAUGAAACUGACUAAAUAGAUUAUUAUUCGGUUUCCCAAUUAGUUAACCGAAUAAGUUAACGAUUAUAUUGGCAGAGUUCAUCAGUUUUGUACUUCAACUGAGAGUUGAAGAAUCCGCCAAUCAAAGACUUUAUUUCCGGUGGCUCAGUCAUCAGUUUCAUCCACUUUGAGUCAUCUUGUCCAAAUCCAUAAAUAUAGAGCCUCCUCCAAAUUUUGAAGAAAUUGUUAUUGAUCUUUUUUCUCUCCAGUUUAUUUUCUACAAAGCAUUUAUUUCUAGUGGUCGAGUCAGUAGUUUCAUCCACCUUGAGUCAUCUUUUUCAAAUCUAUAAAUAUAGAAACCUCUUCCAAGCUUCGAAAAAUCUGAUGUUCUCUCUUUCCUGUCCAAUCUAUUUUCUCCAAUGGAAUUAUUCAGGGCGGUCCAGUCUACAGUUUCGUCCACCUUGAAUCAUUUCUUUCAAAUUUAUUGAUAUAGAAACUCCUCCAAACUUCUGUCGAGCUCCUCGGUGAAACAACUUUACAUGAUAUCUCAAACAUUUUAUUUUGGCCGCCUAUCUUGUUUGUAGAUAUCAUCAUUGGAUAUGAUGAUAUUUGCCACUAUGUAUCCUCUUUCAUUUUUUUCAAUUUGAAAGUUACCUACGAAUUUCAGGGUUAUAUUUAUAAACUCAUCCCAUCUUCACAUCCAUCUGCCCAACUAUUUUGUUUGUUUUUUUCGUUGCCUAAUUCCACUCAUUAAUUAAGCUAAGUAUUAAUCCUAAAGUUUCUACCGUUUUAUCUCAAGAUGAAAUACUCCCAACAAAUCCAGUUUUACAUUUUUGUGUUAUACGCUACAAUUUCAAGAUCUAUAAACUUUCAAAUUACUGACAAAAAAAAAAAAACUUUCAAAUUAUUAUUGGGAUUUGACUCUUAAAAUCUUAAUAAUUGCCAGAUCAAUUCUGACUAGAAGAAUCUCUUUGUGGUUAUGACUCCAUACGUUUCGUCAAAACUCAAGCAACAAAAAACAGAAGCCAGACGGUUGGAUCCAAAUCUCAUCACGAAGAAAUGUACGGCAAAACCAUAUGCACCAUCGUCUUCUUCGUCUUCCUCAUAGCCUCCUACUCUAUCUACAUGGGCACCGUCGAUCCAACCCCUUACUUCUCCCAGCUUCAGUCUCUCCCCCGCGGCAUCUCCUCCUCCUCCUCCUCCUCUCCCUGUAACUCCACCGCCGCACAACCUCUCCGCGUAUUCAUGUACGACCUCCCUCGAAAAUUCAACAUCGCGAUGAUGGAUCCUCACAGCUCAGACGUCGAGCCAAUCACCGCCAAGAACCUCCCUCCCUGGCCCCAGACCUCCGGGAUCAAGCGCCAGCACAGCGUCGAGUACUGGCUCAUGGCCUCGCUUCUCCACAACGGAGGAGAGAAAGAGGCGGUUAGGGUUUUUGAUCCGGAAUCGGCGGAUGCCUUCUACG
rnacentral:lncRNA from 1 species